AUACUUUAUUUGAUGACAUAUAUACUAAAAUUGAAAUGAUACAUAGAUUAGCAUUGUCCUUGCACAGAGAUGACAUGCAAACUUGUAAAGUGUUCCAUAUUGUU